GUGGGGAAUUUUCCGCAAUGGGCGAAAGCCUGACGGAGCAAUACCGCGUGAGGGAAGAAGGCUCUUGGGUUGUAAACCUCUUUUCUUAGGGAAGAAAAAAAUGACGGUACCUAAGGAAUAAGCAUCGGCUAACUCCGUGCCAGCAGCCGCGGUAAUACGGAGGAUGCAAGCGUUAUCCGGAAUGAUUGGGCGUAAAGCGUCCGCAGGUGGUUUAUCAAGUUUGCGGUUAAAGGUUCUGGCUCAACCAGAGACAGGCCGUGAAAACUGAUAGACUAGAGUAUGGUAGGGGCAGAGGGAAUUCCCAGUGUAGCGGUGAAAUGCGUAGAGAUUGGGAAGAACACCGGUGGCGAAAGCGCUCUGCUAGGCCAAAACUGACACUGAGGGACGAAAGCUAGGGGAGCGAAUGGGAUUAGAUACCCCAGUAGUCCUAGCCGUAAACGAUGGAUACUAGGUGUAGCUUGUAUCGACCCAAGCUGUGCCGUAGCUAACGCGUUAAGUAUCCCGCCUGGGGAGUACGCGCGCAAGCG
rnacentral:rRNA from 1 species